AUGUUAUAUUUCCUCAUAUCAAAUUUUUGGCCUGAAGCUUGUGCUCAUCACAGUAGCUUUCUCACUAUGUGUGCGGGAUUGAAGUUUGGAGGUGAGGUGCAUUUAGGGAAGAAGGGAGUUGUUUCCCUCUUCUCUCCUUUUUACCUUAAGACAUGGGGUUACUUAUGCUGGAGGCAUUUCCGUUCCUCCUGUUCACGUCUGUCUUUUCCAGAUUUGUUCAGUAAUAUCUCUUUUCUCCAUUGCUUGGCCCUGGAAUCAAAGACAAAGCAGACAACACCAAACCAGAAAUGCAUCCGAAGACACCCUCUCCCGGAGAUGACACCCAUUUCUCACAGAAUUCUGAAGGAUGCUUACUUGACAUUUCCUUACGAGAUUAUUCAAACCUCUGUCAGAGGUCAAGAUCAGGAGCUUCCUGUUGUCCCUCACACCUCCUGGGUUACCAGGCUGUGGAGUGUCAACCAGCAAACAACCCCAGAGGGGUGGUUGAGCCCAUCUCAUCAACUUCUCCUCCCAAAUCAGGCUGAUGAUGUGCAUUGAUCUAUUCUUUAAGUGGGAAUCCACAUCUGUUCCAUGUACUACAUGAUUAGGCGUGGCAUUGUUUAGAUAUUGCAGAUUCAACUGACGGCCCUCAUCGAUUUGUUAUCCUGCCUGUAAAAUGAAAACAUGAGCUCAGGCUGGUAUGUGAGUCUGGUUCCUUCUUACCAUUAAUCCUCUUUUGUAAACCAUUGAUGUUUCCUUAGCAACUGCAUUAAGUUCUUGAACAUGUUACUUAACUUGUUACUCAGGGUCUUUUCUCAAGGUGAAGUCGAUUCGUUUUCACUUUUUUAUUUUUUCAUGAGCUUGUUUUUGUUAAUUAUAGUCCUUUAAAGUAUUACUUGCUUUGAAUGUUACACUUGCUUGCACAAUUCAUAGGGAAAAAUCAAUUGUGAAACCUAUGGAAUUUCACCUAAUGCACACCUAAUGCACAUCAUGUGGUCACUUGGCUCAUGGAGAAGAAGAUUCUUUUCAUGGUACCAUUAAGUGUGCUUUUAAUUGUAUGAAACAGAUUCCAGCAUUUGCAAAUCUACUUCUCAUUCCCAAGCGUCUUGAAUUUAGUCAAUAAUUAAGUGAAAUAGUGGAGACAGAUUUUUUUGUAUGAAUAAAUGUGUUGUCUUUCAAAAUUAACCUGAUAAA
ensembl:lncRNA